GACGAACGCUGGCGGCGUGCUUAACACAUGCAAGUCGAGCGGGAAACUUCGGUUUCCAGCGGCGGACGGGUGAGUAACACGUGGGCAACCUGCCUCACAAUGAGGGAUAGCCCUCCGAAAGGAGGAUUAAUACCUCAUAACACAAGAGAAACGCAUGUUUCUCUUGCCAAAGAAUUUCGUUGUGAGAUGGGCCCGCGGCGCAUUAGCUUGUUGGUGAGGUAACGGCUCACCAAGGCUUCGAUGCGUAGCCGACCUGAGAGGGUGAUCGGCCACAUUGGAACUGAGACACGGUCCAGACUCCUACGGGAGGCAGCAGUGGGGAGUAUUGCACAAUGGAGGAAACUCUGAUGCAGCAACGCCGCGUGAGUGAUGAAGGUCUUCGGAUUGUAAAGCUCUGUCUUCUGGGACGAUAAUGACGGUACCAGAGGAGGAAGCCACGGCUAACUACGUGCCAGCAGCCGCCGUAAGAC
rnacentral:rRNA from 1 species